rnacentral:rRNA from 1 species
CAGUCGCCGCGGUAAUACAGAGGGUGCAAGCGUUAAUCGGAAUUACUGGGCGUAAAGCGCGCGUAGGUGGUUUGUUAAGUUGGAUGUGAAAUCCCCGGGCUCAACCUGGGAACUGCAUCCAAAACUGGCAAGCUAGAGUAUGGUAGAGGGUGGUGGAAUUUCCUGUGUAGCGGUGAAAUGCGUAGAUAUAGGAAGGAACACCAGUGGCGAAGGCGACCACCUGGACUGAUACUGACACUGAGGUGCGAAAGCGUGGGGAGCAAACAGGAUUAGAGACCCCAGUAGUCCCUGUCUCUUAUAA